UACGGAGGGUGCAAGCGUUGUUCGGAAUCACUGGGCGUAAAGCGCGUGUAGGUGGUCUUUUAAGUCUGGUGUGAAAGCCCGGGGCUUACCCCCGGAAGGGCACUGGAUACUGGGAGACUAGAGUACCGGAGAGGAAGGUGGAAUUCCUGGUGUAGCGGUGAAAUGCGUAGAUAUCAGGAGGAACACCGGUGGCGAAGGCGGCCUUCUGGACGGCUACUGACACUGAGACGCGAAAGCGUGGGGAGCAAACAGG
rnacentral:rRNA from 1 species